rnacentral:rRNA from 1 species
AAUAAUGUUUCAUGCCAUCCUGAACAAACCUGAUCCCGUCUGAUCUUGGAAGCUAAGCAGGGUCGGGCCUGGUUAGUACUAGGAAGACCAGGUGCUGUAGGUG